GAUGAACGCUGGCGGCGUGCCUAAUACAUGCAAGUCGAGCGAAAAGAUGCUGCGCUUGCUCCUCUCACGUUUGCGGCGCACGGGUGAGACACGCGUGUAUCCCCUCCCUAUCAUUCUGGGAACACUUCGGGAAACCGGCGCUAAUACCGGAUAAUAUAUUGCUCCGCAUGGUUCAAUAGUGAGAGUCGGCUUUUCUGUCUCUUAUAGCUGCAUCUGGGCCGCAUUGGCUAGUUGUUACGUUAACGGCUUACCAAGGCAACCAUGCGUAACCGACCUGAGAGAGUGGUAGGCCACACGAGAACUGAGACACGGUCCAGAGUCCUAAGGGAGGCAGCAGUAGGGAAUCGGCCGCAAUGGGCGAAAGCCUGACAGAGUGACGCCGCGUGAGAGAUGAAGGUCUUCCGUGCGUAAUACUCGGUUAUGAGUGAAGAACAAAUGUGGAAGGAACUGUGGACGUCGUGACGGUAACGAAUCAGAAAGCCACGGCUAACUACGUG
rnacentral:rRNA from 1 species